rnacentral:lncRNA from 1 species
CGUCUAUCUCCCUAUCUGAAAUUCUUACAACUCAAAAAUAAAAGGACGACCCAAAUAAAAAUGGGCAAAGGGUGAGAACAGACAUUGCUCCAAACGAAACAUGCAAAUGGUCGACCUCUCGCAGAUCAAAACCACAACGCGAUUCUUCAUAUCCACUAGGAUGGAGAGAACUGAAAAACAGCAGGUGUUGAUGAGGAUGUGGAGAAACUGGAACCACCAUGUGCUGCUGGUGGGAAUGUAAAAUGCUGCAGCUGCUGUGGAAGUUUGGUGGUUCCUCAAAAAACUAAACUUAAAAAAUUAAACACAGAAUCACCAAAUGACCCAGAAACUCACUGUGGGCACACACACACCAACAGCCUGAGAAGACAGAUCUGAAGAGACACGUGUCCAGCAAUGCUCAGAGAGGCAUCACUCACGGCAGCUACACGUCUCCAGCAGUGCUCACAGCGGCGCCACUCACGGCAGCUACACGUGUCCAGCAGUGCUCAGAGAGGCAUCACUCCAGCGAUGCCCACAGUGGCUCCACUCACAACAAUGCUCACAGCAGCGUCACUCACGACACCUACACGUCUGCAGCAGUGCUCACAGCGGCGCCACUCACGGCAGCUACACGUGUCCAGCAAUGCUCAGAGAGGCAUCACUCACGGCAGCUACACGUCUCCAGCAGUGCUCACAGCGGCGCCACUCACGGCAGCUACACGUGUCCAGCAGUGCUCAGAGAGGCAUCACUCCAGCGAUGCCCACAGUGGCUCCACUCACAACAAUGCUCACAGCAGCGUCACUCACGACACCUACACGUCUGCAGCAGUGCUCACAGCGGCACCGCUCACGGCAGCUACACGUCUCCAGCAGUGCUCACAGCGGCGCCACUCACGGCAGCUACACGUGUCCAGCAAUGCUCAGAGAGGCAUCACUCACAGCAGCUACACGUCUCCAGCAGUGCUCACAGCAGCACCACUCACGGCAGCUACACGUGUCCAGCAGUGCUCAGAGAGGCAUCACUCCAGCGAUGCCCACAGUGGCUCCACUCACAACAAUGCUCACAGCAGCGUCACUCACGACACCUACACGUCUGCAGCAGUGCUCACAGCGGCGCCACUCACGGCAGCUACACGUGUCCAGCAAUGCUCAGAGAGGCAUCACUCCAGUGAUGCCCACAGUGGCUCCACUCACAACAAUGCUCACAGCAGCGUCACUCACGACACCUACACGUCUGCAGCAGUGCUCACAGCAGCGUCACUCACGACACCUACACGUCUCCAGCAGGGCUUUUGUUGCCUUCUCCCUCUCCCUAGUGGCUCACAUUCUCUGAGCACCAACAGCUGAUGUCCCCAUGAGCAGAUACUGGUCUUAUCCCCAGGGGCUCCUCCUCCAAACACUGUUUGAUGUUUGCUGUCCUGACACAGUUUUGUAUAGAUUCCUUAUCCAAAAGAAAAUAGGCUGGACGCAGUGGCUCAUGCCUGUAAUCCCAGCACUUUGGGAGGCUGAGGUGGGUGGAUCACAAGGUCAGGAGUUCGAGACCAGCCUGGCCAACAUGGUGAAACCCCGUGUCUACUAAAAAUACAAAACUUAGCUGAGGGUGGUGGCAGGCACCUGUAAUCCCGGCUACUCAGGAGGCUGAGGCAGGAGAAUUGCUUGAACCUGGGAGGCAGAGGUUGCAAUGAGCCGAGAUUGCGCCACUGCACUCCGCCUGGCAGCAAAACUCCGUCUCAAGAAAAAAAAAAGAAAAAAAGAAAAUAAAGGCUGGCGUGGUGGCUCACACUGUAAUCCAGCACUUUGGGAGGCUAAGGCGGGAGGAUCACUUUAGUCCAGGCAUUCCAGACUAACCUGGGCAAUAUAGCAAGACUCUGUCUCCACAAAAAAUACCAAAACUAUCCAGGUGUGGUGGUGCACACCUGUAGUCCCAGC